CGAGGGGAGCCCUAGCACAGGUGCUGCAUGGCCGUCGUCAGCUCGUGCCGUGAGGUGUUGGGUUAAGUCCCGCAACGAGCGCAACCCCCGCCGUUAGUUGCCAGCGGUUCGGCCGGGCACUCUAACGGGACUGCCCGCGAAAGCGGGAGGAAGGAGGGGACGACGUCUGGUCAGCAUGGCCCUUACGGCCUGGGCGACACACGUGCUACAAUGCCCACUACAAAGCGAUGCCACCCGGCAACGGGGAGCUAAUCGCAAAAAGGUGGGCCCAGCUCGGAUUGGGGUCUGCAACCCGACCCCAUGAAGCCGGAAUCGCUAGUAAUCGCGGAUCAGCCAUGCCGCGGUGAAUACGUUCCCGGGCCUU
rnacentral:rRNA from 1 species